GGAAAAUUAUGAGAUCCAAAAAGCAGCCUACCUUUAGCUAAUCCAGAGGCUGCGCCGUACAUGGUGUAUAUCAACUUGCCCCAGAGAGCUGAAGCAGGAGCCAUCUUGAGGACGCCAUGCUUCAGCAGCUGUGGCAGGAGCUGGGAGAUCUGAACAAAUGCUGCUAUGUUACUAUCGGGUACUGGGUUCCUGGUUCAGCAAAGAAUUGAAGAACAGGACACAGAAAUAGCAAGCACAAAGUAGGUUUAUUGUAAAAACAACAGAAAUACAGAGACUUCUCUGAAAAGAAGGGGUCCCAGAGCUGGGAAUCCACUGGGGUUGUUUGGCCUGUUCUUUUUAUGGUCUCUGGAGUUUCCUUCUUAUGUCCUCCCCUAAUGUGGUCCUCACUAUUAUUGAUUGGUGCCCUCUCUGUCCAUGUGUCUCUUUUAGUUUUCCUGUUUAACAAUCCUCAACCUCUUGCUUAGGAGCAGAGAGGAUAUUUUACACAGGGGGAUUCAAGUCGAAAUGCGAAAGGGAGCCCAACUCACUUUCCCCUUUGAGCCUGGUGGCUUGCACAAUCAGCUGAAGCAGGUUAGGAAUUUGAACAAGUAGGUGUAUAAGCUCAAGGACCAGCCCAGCAAGCCUGGAAUGGUUGUAACCAUGGGCAGUAGAGGGGUGAGGAAUUGGCGUCCCUGUCCUUUGAGUGGAGACUCCUGGGAUCCAGACUCCCAAAAGUAGAGAUUCAGUAACUGCUGGUCUCUACACAUAUGUUGAUCUAAUUUCUCCAAAGUAGUCACUACCCCUAAGGCCUGAGUAGACCUUAGCUGUGCCUGCAAGAACUUCACUCUUAGAACUCUGCUGUGGCUACAACCUGGGAGUAGAGCGACCUGGUCUAUGUAGACAAAACUCCAGCUGACAGGACCUCCCAUCCCAUCCUACCUCAUACUGGUGAGAAGGGAAGCAAAGAAUUUUUGAACUCCAACUGGCAACUUAGUGAGUAAUGCAAAAAGAAGAAGGGUUUAACAACCCUUGGUCCUUAUGCUCAUGCUCAAUACAUAGUUCAUGAACAAAUGGAAAGAAGGACACUUGGGCAUAGACAGUGAAUACAUAUUCUCACUGACAAUUUUGACCACCUCAGUGGAAUCAAUGCCUUAAUAUUUCAUUAAGAAUUUCUUUUGUGUGUGUGUUUUGGGUCAAUUGUUUCAUGGACAUAUAUACAUGCACAUUUUUUUUUCUCAUUUGUAGCAUUUUUAAAAAUAUAGUUAUUUUUACUUGCCCUGUCUUUUGGGGUCAAGGUUUUGAAUAGAGUAUUUUGGUUUUGUUUUUCAGUUGUUUGUUCCUCUUUUUCUCUGUUAACAGCCAAAUUCUAUUGUUCUUUCAUUCUUUCUUUAAUUUUUUUACUUCUAGUUUUUUCUCCUUACAUAUAACCAUCUGCCUCUUUUAUCCAAGUCUAGUAGAGGAAGGAGGAGGGGAGAGGAAGAGGCUGGGAAGGAAAAGGGGGAUCAU
rnacentral:lncRNA from 1 species